AUUGAACGCUGGCGGCAUGCUUUACACAUGCAAGUCGAACGGCAGCGCGGGCUUCGGCCUGGCGGCGAGUGGCGAACGGGUGAGUAAUGCAUCGGAACGUGCCCAGUAGUGGGGGAUAGCCCGGCGAAAGCCGGAUUAAUACCGCAUACGACCUGAGGGUGAAAGCGGGGGACCGAAAGGCCUCGCGCUAUUGGAGCGGCCGAUGUCGGAUUAGCUAGUUGGUGGGGUAAAGGCUUACCAAGGCGACGAUCCGUAGCUGGUCUGAGAGGAAGACCGGCCACACUGGGACUGAGACACGGCCCAGACUCCUACGGGAGGCAGCAGUGGGGAAUUUUGGACAAUGGGGGCAACCCUGAUCCAGCCAUGCCGCGUGCGGGAAGAAGGCCUUCGGGUUGUAAACCGCUUUUGUUCGGGAAGAAAUCCUCUGGGCUAAUACCCCGGGGGGAUGACGGUACCGGAAGAAUAAGCACCGGCUAACUACGUG
rnacentral:rRNA from 1 species